UAUGGUAAUUGUGUGCCCCGCGGUAAUACGUAGGGGGCUAGCGUUAUCCGGAAUUACUGGGCGUAAAGGGUGCGUAGGUGGUUUCUUAAGUCAGAGGUGAAAGGCUACGGCUCAACCGUAGUAAGCCUUUGAAACUGGGAAACUUGAGUGCAGGAGAGGAGAGUGGAAUUCCUAGUGUAGCGGUGAAAUGCGUAGAUAUUAGGAGGAACACCAGUUGCGAAGGCGGCUCUCUGGACUGUAACUGACACUGAGGCACGAAAGCGUGGGGAGCAAACAGG
rnacentral:rRNA from 1 species